CUGUGAAGAUGAUGACGGUAGCAGAGGAGGAAGCUCCGGCUAACUACGUGCCAGCAGCCGCGGUAAUACGUAGGGAGCGAGCGUUGUCCGGAUUUACUGGGUGUAAAGGGUGCGUAGGCGGCUGUGCAAGUCAGUAGUGAAAUCCAUGGGCUUAACCCAUGAACUGCUAUUGAAACUGCACAGCUUGAGUGAAGUAGAGGUAGGCGGAAUUCCCGGUGUAGCGGUGAAAUGCGUAGAGAUCGGGAGGAACACCAGUGGCGAAGGCGGCCUACUGGGCUUUAACUGACGCUGAGGCACGAAAGCGUGGGUAGCAAACAGGAUUAGAUACCCUGGUAGUCCACGCUGUAAACGAUGAUUACUAGGUGUGGGGGGACUGAACCCUUCC
rnacentral:rRNA from 1 species